CUUGCGAUAGCACAGUUGGUUGCGCGCUGACUUACAGCGCCAGGUGUUCCGGUUUCGAGUCGUCGCGAGU